rfam:Glycine soja cultivar W05 scaffold8481_3, whole genome shotgun sequence.
AACCCAUGAUGUGGGCAACUCCUGAGUAACUCUUGGAAUCUUUCCCAGGCUUCUGAAGAGUUCUCUUGUUCAUUUUGAGUGAAGUUGCUAAUGUCCUUUUGAAGCU